GCGCUGCCGUUCGUUUUGCCGAGCAUUGCCGAGCGGCGAGGAGAGGAAGAGGAGUGUCUGCUUCGCUUUCUCGAAGCGGGUCAGUCUGCGUUUACUGCUGCCUCUGUCUACGAAAGUCUCGUUCCGCAUUGCUAGGAAUAGCGCGGGACAGGAUGUGAGGACGAACGCCGCGUCUCGCUUUGAUGUCUCGUUGGUGUGUUCAAUCCCUACCAGUAGAAGACGUCGUGGAGCCGUAGAAGAUGCUGGGAGACGAUCCACCGUCCCUAUCGGUGGGUACGGAAGUUAGUGCUAAGUAUAAGGGUGCCUUUUGUGAAGCAAAGAUUCGUAAGGUGGUGCGAUUGGUAAAGUGUCGCGUGACUUUUAAACCGCAAGGUUUAGGAACUGCAACUGUUGCCGACGAUCAAAUCAAGGGAACUUUAAGAGUAGGUGCCUCUGUUGAAGCUAAACAUGCAGAUCGAAAAGAGUUUGUUGAAGCUACAAUUACUAAGAUCCAAGACUGCAGUCAGUACACUGUAGUUUUUGAUGAUGGGGAUAUUACUACAUUAAGAAGAACUGCGCUUUGUCUGAAAAGCGGACGGCAUUUUGCGGAGAGUGAAACGUUGGAUCAACUCCCGUUAACUCACCCAGAACACUUUGGAAAUCCUGUAAUCGGGGGUAGAAGAGGUAGACGAUCAAGGCAAGCGCAGGACGAAAGCAGCGAGGAUGAGGACAGUCCACCGCGAGGUACUCACGAUUCCUCCUCCAGUGGAGGCGCGAAGGAGGGAAUGGAAACUGAACCAGAAAUCGGCAAAGUUAUUUGCGUGGAACUCGGGGACAAAAAGAAGAAAGAUAAUUGGUUUCCAGGUUUAGUAGUUGCACCUACUGCUCAAGAUACAGUAAGAAUACGAGUGAGGGACGAUUACUUGGUGCGUUCGUUUAAAGAUGCGAGAUAUUACACAGUACCCAAGAAGGAAGCCACAGAAUUCACAAAGGAAUUGGUUAAUAAAGUUGAAAACAGUACACUAAAGGUUGCAGUAGAGAAAGCUCUUCUAUUCUUAGAGAAAAAUGAAUUACCACCUCACUGGGAUAAAGAUUCUCUAUUUGGGCAUUCUGUUUCCAGUGGAAAUAGUGAUUAUGAUGGGGAACUCGACUCUGAUAGUUCAGACGACGAACCGCGUGAGGAAAAAGAUCAUUUUGUGGCUCAACUAUAUAAAUUUAUGGACGAUCGUGGAACACCUAUGAAUGUUUGCCCAAUGAUUGGAUCCGAAGACAUAGACUUAUAUAGGCUUUUUCGGGUGGUUCAUAAACUAGGUGGUUAUAAUCGUGUUACGAAUCAGAAUCAAUGGAAAACUGUAACACGACGACUCGGUUUAAUGAUGCAAAAUUCGGGGACCUUAUACAAUCUUGUGAAACAGGCUUAUAAGAAAUAUUUGCAUCAUUUUGAAGAUUUUUAUAAAAAAUUAGGCUGCACCAUGGUAAAUCAUCCGCGAAGUAGUACGCGUAAACAACGCUCUGGAAGAAGUCUUAUCCGCGAUAAAGACAGAAAUACUCCUGUACCGCCGCAACCACCGGCGCAAGUAAAAAGUGACAAGGACGAGGACGAGAAGAAAGUUGCGGAUGACGAGAAGAAGGAGAAGAAGGAAAUUAAGAAGGAACAAGUGAAAGAGGAGGAGGUGGUUUUGAAAAUAAAGAAAAAAGAAGAAUCCGAUAGUGAUCAGGAGAUUGAUGUGAAUGGAGACGGAGACGUUGAAUUGUCAUCUAAUAAUGAAAAACCGCAAAAACUAACCGCGCAACCUUCUACAUCAUCUCCUGUUUCUAAUGGCGCUACAACCAGUGCAACAUCGUCCGGUCGAGCCAAAUCAAAAAGUAAAGAAGACACUAAGAAAAAGACGGCCGAAAAAAAGAAGCCAGAAACUAAAAAGCAAGAGAAGAAAGAUGAUAAACUCAAGGAGGAAGAAGCUACUAAAACGAGAUCCAAAGCGAAGGAUGAUACUGUAAAAAAUAAAGGUGCUUCCGAAGGAAGGGAGACUCGCACACCGUCCCGAGAAGGAGAAAAGAAAACAGUGUCUAAGCAGCGACGUUUAACGGACGAAGAAUUGAAGAAACGAGGAAGAAAACGCAAGGAGUAUGAGGCGGAGAAAUCGCGCGCAGAUGAACAACUCACAGAGACCGCUCCGAGCUACAAGGGUCCCGUGGAGUGUGGCGACAAAUUGAAGGUAUAUUACGGUCCAACACAUGAAUCCAAAGUUACUUACGAAGCGAAAGUCAUCGAAAUUGAGAAAGACGGUCUCGAACCGAUGUACCUUGUACACUAUACAGGCUGGAAUACAAGAUACGACGAGUGGAUUAAAGCAUCCAGAAUCGCCCAGAAUUUUACGCAAGCUCAAGGUAGGGUGAAGCGUAUCAAGGCUACUCCUAGGCCUCAAACCCCCAGCACGAAUUCGUCCAACAAUAUGAGCAAUAAAUUGAAAGGCACUUGUAAUUCGGGUGCUAACGCAUCGCAAAGUCGUCGCCGAGCACAAAGUGUUGCUCCUACUUCCAGUAACACUUGUCAAUCAAUUCCGACGUCUUCGAAGGAAGUUAAAAAAGAGGACAAGGAGAAGGACAAGGAAUCGUUGCAACCAACCAGAUCCACUACACCGCUCUCCAUUGCCAGUUCUAGUUCCAGGACUAAGAGUCCUGCCACACCUGCUAACAGACAAACCAGGACAACCAGAAACGCAGAACUAUCAGGCAUGGAGCAUCGGAGGCGGACCAGAAGAACCUCGGGACACACGGACAUAUCCGUCGCGUCGGAAACCGAAGACAGCGAGACUUACGAAUCCGACACCACCGAGACUGAGCCGACCAAGACCAGAUCAAGAGGCACGGAAGAGAGAAAACGGAAGGAGACGCGCAGCAGAGCAGAAGAGAGAAUUAAAGCGGAAGACGUGAGUGACGGUGAAGAUGACAAGGAUAAUCUGGAUGAACCCCGUAAAGGUAGACGUUUGAGAAGAACACCUGGUAAAACACAAAGUAUUAAAUCGGAGCCUGAUAGUGACCAGGAGGAACAACCGAAAGGUCGCGAUUUUGAUCUCAAUCAGAUACGAUCCGAAUUAAAAGGCUUCGACAAAGCGGUUAAGUUAGAAUUGGUCAGAAUGGAGCCCGAGCCCGAGGACGAAGUGAAGCUGGAUGAAAAAGAGAGCGUAGUCGCGACCACGGCAUCACCCAAGUUGGAGAAAAUUGUCGAGACUCCGAAAGUGGAAACUGUCGUCGAGACGAAGGUGGAAAGCACGGAAGAUAUAUACGAGUUUAAAGAACCGGAACCGUUCGAGUUUGAAGUGAGGAACAAGAGGGACACGAGCGGUGAGAAGGAUAAGUUGAAGAAGAGGAUAUUCGAGGAUGAGCCUAAGAGUCCGAAGAAGAAGCAGAAAACGCCGGCUGCGAUGCCGGUUUUGAAAGAGACGAAACCAUCGGAGCCACCGGAUAACGAUACUCGAAAGAAACCGAGAAAAUUAUUCGGCAAAAGAUCCGAGGAUGCGAACGAAUCAGUUGCUCCUGGCAAUAAACCUCAGAUGUUUAUCGCAAGCGAGGAUGUUUUUAACAUAUUAACGUCUUCGUACAAUCAAAUGAAAUCAUUGACUAUUCCGGAAGAACUUCCUUCCUUUCCUUCCCAGAGCAAGGUGUCCGGCACAAAUGUCUUGUUUCACGAUUUGCCGGUGGACGAUGAAGGUACGCGCGAUGAUUCGGAAGACCGUUUGAUAAUAUCAGAGACCGAGGUGUCGGAGGCGGAACAAGACAACAUAUUUACGACGUAUCAACAGGAGAACCAAUUUCAUCCUGGCGGCGAGUCCUUGACCGAGUCCACGACGGAGUCUAAGAAAAACGAGACGAGCACCGUGACUGAAUGCUCGAGGGAGGAAACCAAUGCGAUAGUAACCAUGAGUAGUGCCAGCAAACCUGUUAAUUCCUUGGAUCAGAAACAGAGUCAGGUCAAGCUGUUGCCUAUGACUGGACAAUCGCAAUCGGAAUUGAGGAUGCUGGAUACGAAGCUGCUCGAUAUCGCCCCGGUUCCGUCGCCGAUCGUGACACCUCCGGCUCCCAUAAGCGCGAGGCUGCCGGCGACGUCCACGAUAGAGGAGAAGUUAUCGGCCGCUGCUAUGGCGUUCCGAAAAACCAAGGACAGCAAAAAAAUCUCUGACGAGGACACGUCCGAUCACACUCGCAAGACAAUCAAAGACUCGUCGAAGAAAUCAGACGUUUCGCAGAGAAACAAAGACGCGGAUCGCGGCGUGACCGUUGAGGUGGAUGACAAGAAACGCGAGCAGGAAGAGAUUAAGGACCCGUGCAGAGAGAUUAUGCGUAUGGCGAUUAAGAAAGAGGAAGAGAUGCAACAAUUGAAGCCAAAGAAAGAAGCAGAACUGAAGAAAUUCAAGGAGGAGGCAAAGAUCGUAGCUGAACACAAGAGCAAAUUGCAGGAGGUCGCGAGGGACGAGAACUGGAAGAGCGUCGAAAACGAGGGCGAUAAACAGUCCGAAGAGGAGUAUAAUAAAAUGACGGAUCAAAAGGAAAAGGACAGAAUCGAAAAUCGUAAGAAACAGAUCAAUCAGGAUCACAUUAUAGACUCCACGGAUAGCAGCGAUUCGGAACAGAGGCUCGUGAUAGACAACGAGGAAUCUCAAGACGUCAAAGUAUCGACGUCCAGUUUUGACGUGAAGCUGCAAGCGGAAUUGGAUCGUAUACAGAGUACGCAAGAUAGAUAUACGAGGGCGCAACCAUUGAAAACUUCGCAAACUGUCCAACAUCAGCAGCAACAGCAACAACAGCAGCAAGAGUGUACAGAAUUCAAGGCCGAAGUGACACCGAUUUCAAAGACAGAUGAAGAGGGAGAGACGAUGAAUUCCCUGCUGUGCGAAGAAGAGAUACCCGGCUCACCGGCUCCGCCAUCCGAGAACAUCGAACAAGUCAGUGUCGGUCCAUCCUGCAGCCCGCCCAAGAGCGAAGUUACCGAGAGCAGCAUAGUGUUGAUGGAAAUGCCUUUUGCUAGUGCACCAACCUCUGGUCAAAGUACGACGAGCAGCAGCAGCACCGUUGCCACUCUCAGCCUGGCAUUGCCGAAGACUAUCGAGGCCUCGAUUCCGGUUUCUCUGCCCAUGCAGCAGAACGCAUCUUUAAAUAUGCGGCAGCCGCAACAGCCACAACAGCAUCAGCAGCAACACCAGCAACACGUACCGGUUCUGAUGCCGCCGCAGCGACGAGAGAGCAACGAAGCCGCGCCGGUGAUGGACAACACACCGCCAACCACCCCAGAUUCGAGUAUAUCCAACAUCUCAGGCUCGCCUAGAGAAGAAAGAACCGGCGGCUCGUCGCCGACUUCCGAGGAUAACAUCAAGCUGAAUCGCGACAGCUCUGAAGCGGACAACGAUAGCGCUGGUAAAGGUCCGGGCUUCAGCGAAGACGACACCCUACCGAAUUCCGAAGGCAACUGCGCGGACAGGAUGCUGAAGCCGCCCGCCAAACGCUCGGUCGACGACAUGCAGUCGCCCAAGAAACGUAAGAGGAAUCGCAAGCACUCGGAAUGCGGCACUGGUGCUGCUACUGCGGUUAUCCCGAAGAAACCCGGAAGACAGAACGGUAGGCAUGGUAGAUACGGAGCUGGGAGUGAUAGCGACGACACCAGCGAAGGAUCUAAUCUUUGUGGGGUCAACAACACGCCGACAAGUCACGCCAACACUAUCACCACCGUCCCCGAUCUUAGUACCUACUCGUCUAGAUCACCAAGACCUACGAAGUAUAACUUUUACGUCGAAUUAGAUCCUGAAUUGGACGGUAGUCAAAGGAUAGCUGUGCUACAGCAGAAAUUAACUGAGUUGAGAAAGACGUAUAAUGCAGUGAAGGUCGAGCUUGCCGCUAUAGAAAGACGUAGAAAGAAAUUACGAAGGCGGGAACGAGAAGCGAUGAAAGCAGCUAAAGCAGAAAUGCAGCAAGCUUGUUCGUGAUAAGCAGUGUUGAAAAAAAAUCAUUCUUUUCUCGAGUAGCAAAUGAAACUGUCAGAGAUAUUAAAAAUAGCAAUUGUUGACACGGGCAUCAUGCAAUCAUGACAACUACCAACAUUUCAUUUAGUUAAUAUAUUUGCCCCUGCACACUCUCUUUGUAUUAAUAAAUUGUAGAUAUAGUUAAUAAGAUUUAGAGUCAUAAGGAUGCGUUUAUCGGGAACUAUAUACUUCAUAUAUACGAUAUAUAUUGUAUAUAUAUUGUAUGUUUCGUCAAGUUUCUUCAUUAAAUGAUUAACAAAUUUUAAUCUUUUGUCACCUGCUCAGAUACAAAGUACAAAUUAUCAAUUGACGAUCAUUUCUCAAGUAUUAUUCAUUUCUUUUGUUAUAAAAAAAAGAAAAAACAAAGGAGAGUGUUAACAAUAGUCGCAUAUGUUAUCGAUAAAGACAUCUUGGGAACAAGUAAUUUAAUCUAAGCUGGCUAUCAUUUCCGUUUCUCGAGCACGGCCACACCAGUUGCGGUUGAGCUGUUUUCACAAGACGAAGUUACAAAAGACAAAGUAUAUAAGAAAAAAUACCAGUGACACGAGUGCGAACAUUGCAUGUUCUAAUACUCUAGGAAAAAAAUAUGUAAAUAUUAGAGAUUAGAGUAAAAUUGUGAAAUACACAUUGGCACCAUUACGUCACGCAUAUAAUACUAUCUAAAGGAGCAUACUUUUGUGCGUGUCUCCCAUUGAAGAUUUCUCGACAUUUGUGACAUCUCAUUCCAUCACAAGACAGAAGUGGACAUUGGCGUUAAACAAUUUUUCAAACCUUUUUAAUACUCAUGAAAGAAUACUCGCUGCUAAAUCAUUGAACUAUUAGUUUAAAUGAAAUGAGAAAUUAUACAGGAAUCAUUUAAUCUUGGCGAAUGGCGCAUUGAGCGAUAGGGCAUACUACUUUCCAUUGCACAUGUCAACAAGGAGGUGGGCUAGACGUCGGUGCUGCAUCUACGGUUGUCGCAGAGGAAGAUGCCACUGCGGCCGCUUUAUUGUCAGGGUCUAAUUUCUGUCUGGUAAACAUGAUCUGUUCCAUUAAUUCGUGAUGGGCUUCUAAUCGUUCGAUGCAAUGUAAACACGCAGUCUUUGGCAGCGGAUCAUUCAUAUUCACCUGUAAAAUGUGCGUGCAAAAAAAGUGCUUUAUUUUAAUGCGUUCUCUCAGGUGUCAUAUGUAAAUAAAAAAUGAACCAGUACAAUAAUUUGUGAAUAUGAUAA